rnacentral:rRNA from 1 species
GACGAACGCUGGCGGCGUGCUUAACACAUGCAAGUCGAACGGAAAGGCCCUGCUUUUGUGGGGUGCUCGAGUGGCGAACGGGUGAGUAACACGUGAGUAACCUGCCCUUGACUUUGGGAUAACUUCAGGAAACUGGGGCUAAUAUCGGAUAGGAGCUCCUGCUGCAUGGUGGGGGUUGGAAAGUUUCGGCGGUUGGGGAUGGACUCGCGGCUUAUCAGCUUGUUGGUGGGGUAGUGGCUUACCAAGGCUUUGACGGGUAGCCGGCCUGAGAGGGUGACCGGCCUCAAUGGGACUGAGGGACGGCCCAGACUCCUACGGGCGGCAGCAGUGGGGAAUCUUGCACAAUAGGCGGAAGCCUGAUGCAGCGACGCCGCGUGCGGGAUAACGGCCUUCGAGUUGUAAACCGCUUUCGCCUGUAACGAAGCGUUAGUGACGGUAAUGAGUAAAGAAGCACCGGCUAACUACGUG